CCCGCUGAACUUAAGCAUAUCAAUAAGCGGAGGAAAAGAAACUAACAAGGAUUCCCCUAGUAACUGCGAGUGAAGCGGGAAGAGCUCAAAUUUAAAAUCUGGCCGCCUUUGGUUGCCCGAGUUGUAGUCUGGAGAAGCGUUUUCCGUGUUGGACCGUGUACAAGUCUCUUGGAACAGGGCGUCAUAGAGGGUGAGAAUCCCGUCUUUGACACGGACUACCAAUGCUUUGUGAUGCGCUCUCAAAGAGUCGAGUUGUUUGGGAAUGCAGCUCAAAAUGGGUGGUAAAUUCCAUCUAAAGCUAAAUAUAGGCGAGAGACCGAUAGCGAACAAGUACCGUGAGGGAAAGAUGAAAAGCACUUUGGAAAGAGAGUUAAACAGUACGUGAAAUUGCUGAAAGGUAAACGCUUGAAGUCAGUCAUGUCCAUAGAUACUCAGCAUUGCUUCUGCUUGGUGCACUUCAUGGUCAAAUGUGCCAACAUCAAUUUAGACCGUUGGAGAAAGGCUUUGGGAAUGUGGCACCUUUGUGUGUGUUAUAGCCCUUUGUCGUAUACGGCGGUCGGGAUUGAGGACUGCAGCACGCCUUUAUGGCCGGGGUUCGCCCACGUAUGUGCUUAGGAUGUUGGCGUAAUGGCUUUAAGCGACCCGUCUUGAAACACCGG
rnacentral:rRNA from 1 species